AUUUAAAUAGUUUAAUAAAAAUAUGGGAUUGUGAUUCUUAAGAUAUAAUUAUUUAUUUUAGAUA
rnacentral:tRNA from 1 species